UACGGAGGGUGCGAGCGUUGUCCGGAAUCACUGGGCGUAAAGGGCGCGUAGGCGGCUCAUGAAGGCUGUGGUGAAAGUCCGGGGCUCAACCUCGGAUCGGCCGUGGCGACUCGUGGGCUGGAGCACUGUAGAGGCGGGUGGAAUUCCGGGUGUAGCGGUGGAAUGCGUAGAGAUCCGGAAGAACACCAGUGGCGAAGGCGGCCCGCUGGGCAGUGGCUGACGCUGAGGAGCGAAAGCAUGGGGAGCGAACAGG
rnacentral:rRNA from 1 species